UCCAUUAAAAAAAUAAAUAAAAACCUAAUUACAUCUUCCCCCACAAAAAUUAAAAUAAAAUGAGAGAGUUUACUAAAUCCUGGCUCUAGGAAGAUCCAGGUCCUCAGGGCAGUCAAUAUCAAAUCUCUGCCUUUAAAAGCAUAGCAUGAAAUUAUAAUCUGAUGAACUCUCCUCCUCGGAGGACCUGCAUCUGCAUCAGCCAGUCAUUGUCACUGCAAGUUGAUCUCUAAGUGAAACUGCAAAUCUUCUCACAUAUACAGGAUUACAUGACGUUGAUGAAAGUAAUGUUGGAGAUCGCCAAGCCUUUGCCAAACAAGAUUUAGCCAACAAGGAUGGUGACAAGUGAAGGACAUGGCCAGCCUACAGACAAGACUAGGUGAUACCCUCGGGUAAUAAGAAGCACUGUAUGAAAGUAAACAGGCCCAGAACACCUUCUGGAACUCCAGAUUUGUACACCCAGCUGCUCUCCGCAGCCCCAUCCUCUCUCCACUACAACUCACUCUUACUCUCACUCAGUUCCCUGCAAGCCAUCAACACAGAAAGCAGAGAGUUUUAGAAAUCACAUCCUGUAGUGGAGAGAGCAGAUGAGCAUAAUGGAAAAGACAAAGGCGGCGGAAUGCAUGUCCUCCAUUAUAUCUGCAACUGGGUUAUGCUGUCCUUGGACACGAUUUUUAUA